UACGAAGGGAGCUAGCGUUGUUCGGAUUUACUGGGCGUAAAGGGCGCGUAGGCGGUCAGCACAAGUCAGUUGUGAAAUCUCCGGGCUUAACUCGGAAAGGUCAACUGAUACUGUGCGACUAGAGUGCGGAAGGGGCAACUGGAAUUCUCGGUGUAGCGGUGAAAUGCGUAGAUAUCGAGAGGAACACCUGCGGCGAAGGCGGGUUGCUGGGCCGACACUGACGCUGAUGCGCGAAAGCCAGGGGAGCAAACGGG
rnacentral:rRNA from 1 species